UAACGGUGUCACUAAACGGGAUGUUUAU
rnacentral:piRNA from 1 species